UUAAGCGACUAAGCGUACACGGUGGAUGCCCUGGCAGUCAGAGGCGAUGAAGGACGUGCUAAUCUGCGAUAAGCGUCGGUAAGGUGAUAUGAACCGUUAUAACCGGCGAUUUCCGAAUGGGGAAACCCAGUGUGUUUCGACACACUAUCAUUAACUGAAUCCAUAGGUUAAUGAGGCGAACCGGGGGAACUGAAACAUCUAAGUACCCCGAGGAAAAGAAAUCAACCGAGAUUCCCCCAGUAGCGGCGAGCGAACGGGGAGGAGCCCAGAGCCUGAAUCAGUGUGUGUGUUAGUGGAAGCGUCUGGAAAGGCGCGCGAUACAGGGUGACAGCCCCGUACACAAAAAUGCACAUGCUGUGAGCUCGAUGAGUAGGGCGGGACACGUGGUAUCCUGUCUGAAUAUGGGGGGACCAUCCUCCAAGGCUAAAUACUCCUGACUGACCGAUAGUGAACCAGUACCGUGAGGGAAAGGCGAAAAGAACCCCGGCGAGGGGAGUGAAAAAGAACCUGAAACCGUGUACGUACAAGCAGUGGGAGCACGCUUCGGCGUGUGACUGCGUACCUUUUGUAUAAUGGGUCAGCGACUUAUAUUCUGUAGCAAGGUUAACCGAAUAGGGGAGCCGAAGGGAAACCGAGUCUUAACUGGGCGUUAAGUUGCAGGGUAUAGACCCGAAACCCGGUGAUCUAGCCAUGGGCAGGUUGAAGGUUGGGUAACACUAACUGGAGGACCGAACCGACUAAUGUUGAAAAAUUAGCGGAUGACUUGUGGCUGGGGGGGAAAGGCCAAUCAAACCGGGAGAUAGCUGGUUCUCCCCGAAAGCUAUUUAGGUAGCGCCUCGUGAAUUCAUCUCCGGGGGUAGAGCACUGUUUCGGCAAGGGGGUCAUCCCGACUUACCAACCCGAUGCAAACUGCGAAUACCGGAGAAUGUUAUUACGGGAGACACACGGCGGGUGCUAACGUCCGUCGUGAAGAGGGAAACAACCCAGACCGCCAGCUAAGGUCCCAAAGUCAUGGUUAAGUGGGAAACGAUGUGGGAAGGCCCAGACAGCCAGGAUGUUGGCUUAGAAGCAGCCAUCAUUUAAAGAAAGCGUAAUAGCUCACUGGUCGAGUCGGCCUGCGCGGAAGAUGUAACGGGGCUAAACCAUGCACCGAAGCUGCGGCAGCGACGCUGAUGCGUUGUUGGGUAGGGGAGCGUUCUGUAAGCCUGUGAAGGUGUGCUGUGAGGCAUGCUGGAGGUAUCAGAAGUGCGAAUGCUGACAUAAGUAACGAUAAAGCGGGUGAAAAGCCCGCUCGCCGGAAGACCAAGGGUUCCUGUCCAACGUUAAUCGGGGCAGGGUGAGUCGACCCCUAAGGCGAGGCCGAAAGGCGUAGUCGAUGGGAAACAGGUUAAUAUUCCUGUACUUGGUGUUACUGCGAAGGGGGGACGGAGAAGGCUAUGUUGGCCGGGCGACGGUUGUCCCGGUUUAAGCGUGUAGGCUGGUUUUCCAGGCAAAUCCGGAAAAUCAAGGCUGAGGCGUGAUGACGAGGCACUACGGUGCUGAAGCAACAAAUGCCCUGCUUCCAGGAAAAGCCUCUAAGCAUCAGGUAACAUCAAAUCGUACCCCAAACCGACACAGGUGGUCAGGUAGAGAAUACCAAGGCGCUUGAGAGAACUCGGGUGAAGGAACUAGGCAAAAUGGUGCCGUAACUUCGGGAGAAGGCACGCUGAUAUGUAGGUGAAGUCCCUUGCUGAUGGAGCUGAAAUCAGUCGAAGAUACCAGCUGGCUGCAACUGUUUAUUAAAAACACAGCACUGUGCAAACACGAAAGUGGACGUAUACGGUGUGACGCCUGCCCGGUGCCGGAAGGUUAAUUGAUGGGGUUAGCGCAAGCGAAGCUCUUGAUCGAAGCCCCGGUAAACGGCGGCCGUAACUAUAACGGUCCUAAGGUAGCGAAAUUCCUUGUCGGGUAAGUUCCGACCUGCACGAAUGGCGUAAUGAUGGCCAGGCUGUCUCCACCCGAGACUCAGUGAAAUUGAACUCGCUGUGAAGAUGCAGUGUACCCGCGGCAAGACGGAAAGACCCCGUGAACCUUUACUAUAGCUUGACACUGAACAUUGAGCCUUGAUGUGUAGGAUAGGUGGGAGGCUUGGAAGUGUGGACGCCAGUCUGCAUGGAGCCGACCUUGAAAUACCACCCUUUAAUGUUUGAUGUUCUAACGUUGACCCGUAAUCCGGGUUGCGGACAGUGUCUGGUGGGUAGUUUGACUGGGGCGGUCUCCUCCUAAAGAGUAACGGAGGAGCACGAAGGUUGGCUAAUCCUGGUCGGACAUCAGGAGGUUAGUGCAAUGGCAUAAGCCAGCUUGACUGCGAGCGUGACGGCGCGAGCAGGUGCGAAAGCAGGUCAUAGUGAUCCGGUGGUUCUGAAUGGAAGGGCCAUCGCUCAACGGAUAAAAGGUACUCCGGGGAUAACAGGCUGAUACCGCCCAAGAGUUCAUAUCGACGGCGGUGUUUGGCACCUCGAUGUCGGCUCAUCACAUCCUGGGGCUGAAGUAGGUCCCAAGGGUAUGGCUGUUCGCCAUUUAAAGUGGUACGCGAGCUGGGUUUAGAACGUCGUGAGACAGUUCGGUCCCUAUCUGCCGUGGGCGCUGGAGAACUGAGGGGGGCUGCUCCUAGUACGAGAGGACCGGAGUGGACGCAUCACUGGUGUUCGGGUUGUCAUGCCAAUGGCACUGCCCGGUAGCUAAAUGCGGAAGAGAUAAGUGCUGAAAGCAUCUAAGCACGAAACUUGCCCCGAGAUGAGUUCUCCCUGACUCCUUGAGAGUCCUGAAGGAACGUUGAAGACGACGACGUUGAUAGGCCGGGUGUGUAAGCGCAGCGAUGCGUUGAGCUAACCGGUACUAAUGAACCGUGAGGCUUAACCUU
rnacentral:rRNA from 1 species